rnacentral:lncRNA from 1 species
UUUCGCUUUCGAUUCGCCGCCAGUGCGCCACCUCCACCAUCGCCCGUCACCGCUCGCUGCCGCCCAUCGUCGCCUCGUCGCCUCGUCGCCGCUCGCCACCGCCCAUCAUCGCCUCAUCGUCGCUCGCCAUUGCCCCGCCGCCGCUCGCCGCCACCCAUCAUCGCCUUGUCGCCACGAUCAGUCUCGCGGAUCAGCUGGACUAAAACCCUAAAAGCAGCACUCGUCUGCUCGUCGCGAACGGCUCGCGGAACCAUCAUCGGAGGAUAGAGCCGCUUGGUUCAGGUAAUCCGUCUGAACACGCAUUCGUGGAUUUCAUUUAUGUUGAGCUGUCGUCGUUGAAGAGGGUGUGCAGGUAUAUAGAUGUUCUUGAUCGCGGUCUGCCUCGUGGGUUUAUGACUAGGGAGCGUUUAACUGAAAUGAUAUUUGGGUUUUGCGGGAAUCUGGAUUUGGAACAGAGCAUGGUUUAAGAGCAUUGCUGAUUAGCUAACCUUUGUGCUUAUGUUUUAUGGACAUUGUGUUUCAUGGUCGGUAUAGUAGAAAGAGAAGAUGGGUUUGUUGGGUAGGAGGACAAAAUGAUGCUGCCUACGUUUUGCCCAAUUUUAUUGAGAUAAUCUCGAGGUAGCCUUAGCGAGCAAUGCUUAGAGAUAUUGAGCAGUCUUUCUCGCUUCUGACUUGGCUUCCAUGAGUUUUGGUGUUGGACAACCAUUUGUUAUUUUAAUGAUCUGAACUUUUGUUCAUUUUCUUGAGUGGUAAGUUUGUGCACCUAUGUCUUUAUUAUGUUUUGUGCUCUCUAAAGAAGGUGAGGAUGAAUUUGAUGACUGCUGCUUUUUUCAUUGGUCAGAUUCUUUGAUAGAUGCUAGAGACUUGGGUUUUUCAUUAACAUCCAUGUUCCAUGUAUGAAUUCAUUCUUUACCCUUUAUGUUAAAUUCAUAAUAUGCAAUCCUGAACCUGUUCUAAUUUAUGUUUUCUCCAACUAAUUAGUUGACAUGUCAAGAGAUAACGAGGAUCAAGAAGAAUAUUCAACUACAGAACAAUUCGAGAGACGUAGAGUUGCAUCCUUAGUUCGUGAGGAUGAGGAAGAUAACUCUACUUGCUCUAAGCGUUCAAGAAAAUGCACUCUCUCUCUCUCGAUAUGUGACUAAGAUUUCCUUGUUCUCUUUGCUUUUGCAG